rnacentral:lncRNA from 1 species
UCCACCGCCCAGCUGCAGGUGGCGCCUCUCGCCACCCGCACCCCGCUGCGCCCAGGGAAGGGCCGAUGGCGCGCCGUCCUCCCUCCUCCCUUCGGGAAGCCUGCGACGUCCCAUCCCCUCCGACGCAGGCCCGGGAAAGGCUCAAAAGGUUCGAGGUCGCGUUCCUGCUAUCCCGCGGGCUUCUCUCACUCUUAGAUCCCGCACCAGAGGAAGCGGAUCUCCUUGAGUGGGCAAAGCAGGGGUGAGGGGCUGGGGGCAGUUCCACUGACAACGGGACGGGGGCGAGAGGGGUUUACCCAGUACAUACAGAAACAGCAGAAAAGAAAUCUAUUUUUAAUGGCUUUGGCUUUAUAGCACGAAGCAGGCACCCUCUCGUUAAAGGCACACAGUCCUCUCUUCUGCCCCACCUCCUGGGUCCUUAAAAUCGAGUCCUGAGUUCCAGAGGGGUCACUGCAAGGCAGCAGGGAAGGGAGAGGGUCACAGUUUCACUCUGUGAGUAUCAGACACCCAGGGCCAAGGCCCAGACUGGCCUCUGAAGCUACAGGUUAGAGUCUGGGUACAGGAGGCAGCCGAGAUGGUCCCUGAGAACAGACAGUCCCGGUCCCCCGGAGCAAGCUCCAUCCUCUGCAGAGCUGUGAGGUCAGUGCCCCACAUCCUGGGGCAACGUGAAGUCCCUGAAGCUGUAGAAGGAGAUGUCACCAUGAUCCACCAGGGCAAAGAUCAGAGGGACAUCCCCACUCUGGAGCCAGUUCCUAACCACCAACUCCUGGCGGUCAAGGUACUGCAGAGACGGCACUGCUUGGAAACUUACCGGGCACCUCCAUCAGGAAGGUGUGUUGUCUGCAGCACAGAGAUAUGCUGAAGGACCACGGCUACAAGGACACAGAAAACAAGCUGGAGCACCGCUGCACCUCGGGAUCGGCGUUGACAUCUUCCUGGAACUGCGCGGCCUCCGCGUGGUGCUCCCGUUCCCGCCUGGAGAGCUUCUCCUUGCGCUGGUUCAGCUUCUGGCACCAGGACUCAGCGUCUGUCUCCCGCCCAGCCACGUUGGCCGGGAGCAGCUCUGGGGCUGGGGCGCGCAGAAGGGUGUGGCGGCUGUCUGAAGCCAUGUUGGGGAAGGAGAUCUGCUCGAAGUUCCAGCGCCGCUUACCGGCUCCCGUGACUCCGUUCUCGGCUCUGCCACUCUCCCAGCUGCACCCCACCCCCUCCCUGGCCGGGCCAGGGCUGGGGCCCAGGGACCCCAGAAGCUGAAAGGGGCCCCCUGGGCCCUUCAUGGGGCUUGACUCCUGGGGUUUCUCCUCUGGGCAUUGGCUGGGCUGGCUGCAGGGAGGUGGGCUGGAGGCUGCCAGACUCUUGGGUUGCAGGGAGUUGUCCAGGGCCUUGGCCUUCUUAUUAAUGGACCUGAGGGACGUGGGGGAAAAGCAGCACAUCUGCCCCUGGUUGCUAAGGUGCACACGUCCCAUGGGAGCUGAAGGCAGGUCCCCUAGUGUCUCCCUGAGCCUGCAUGGGAGCUGCUGGUUCUUAGAAAGCCUGUGCAUUUUCCAAGGUCCCAGACACCAGCACUCCCUGGGGGGCCACCGUGAUGUGGGAGUUACCGAGGGCUGGAGCUGCUCCUCUUUCUCUUGCCAUCUCCAUCCUCCAAGUGCUGCACGCUGGCAUCCAGGUUAAGCUGCCUCUCAUACGGGGACAGGACAGAGCUGUGGGGUGAGAACAGCGGGUGGGCCACUGACCCACCUCCUCAGCCUGGGGAUCUGGUGGGAUGUGUAAGGAAACGGGCCAAGAGGACAGUCAGUGGGCCAGGAUCGGAGCCACACCCAAGUGCUAAGGCCCUAAGCAGACCCCCAUGAGGGGUACAGGCCCAGCCAGGGGGCCCAGCCAUGUGCCUCUGCCUAGGCAAUGGCCCAGAGGAGCUAGCAAACUUG